GACGAACGCUGGCGGCGUGCCUAACACAUGCAAGUCGAACGGAGAUAUGAUUUCGGUUGUAUCUUAGUGGCGAACGGUGAGUAACGCGUGAACAACCUGACUCUAAGAGGGGGAUAACACUCGGAAACGGGUGCUAAUACCGCAUAAGACCACGACCUGGCAUCAGGAUGAGGUCAAAGGAGCAAUCCGCUGAGAGAGGGGUUCGCGUCCAUUAGAUAGAUGGCGGGGUAACGGCCCACCAUGUCAACGAUGGGUAGCCGAGCUGAGAGGCUGAUCGGCCGCACUGGAACUGAGACACGGUCCAGACUCCUACGGGAGGCAGCAGUGGGGAAUAUUGGGCAAUGGGCGCAAGCCUGACCCAGCAACGCCGCGUGAGGGAAGAAGGCUUUCGGGUUGUAAACCUCUGUCCUUGGUGACGAAACAAAUGACGGUAGCCAAGGAGGAAGCCCCGGCUAACUACGUGCCAGCAGCCGCGGUAAU
rnacentral:rRNA from 1 species